AUUGUGUGCAGAACGCUGUCGCUUUCCAGUCGAUUCUUCCUUUUCCUCUCAGUUCAUUGCCGAGUUAGCGGAUCUAAGUUCACUGAAAUGAAGACGUCCUGUGUGUUUCUUGUUGGGCUGCUCGUGUUGGGCCUUGCACUGGCUGAUCUGGGCCAGAAUGAAGCAGUUGUGGAUGCUGAAGCAGACAGGGAGAAACGAUGCUCCUCAAUUCUGCAUAGCCCAUGUCCGUGCUGCUCGCCGUUGAUAUGCAAGGUAGUUCUUGUCAGCCCAAGGCAUUGGAGACCACAGUGCGAAGACCGUUGAUUUUGUCUCGGACGUAUUCAUUCAGAUUUGAAACACCAAUACAAUGGAAAUAAAAUUAUA